UCAAUAAGCGGAGGAAAAGAAACUAACAAGGAUUCCCCUAGUAACGGCGAGUGAAGCGGGAUGAGCUCAAAUUUGUAAUCUGGCGGUCUCUGGCCGUCCGAGUUGUAGUCUGGAGAAGCGUUUUCCGUGCUGGACCGUGUACAAGUCCCUUGGAACAGGGCGUCGUAGAGGGUGAGAAUCCCGUCUCUGACACGGACCGCCGGUGCUCUGUGAUGCGCUCUCGAAGAGUCGAGUUGUUUGGGAAUGCAGCUCAAAAUGGGUGGUAAAUUCCAUCUAAAGCUAAAUAUUGGCGAAAGACCGAUAGCGAACAAGUACCGUGAGGGAAAGAUGAAAAGCACUUUGGAAAGAGAGUUAAACAGUACGUGAAAUUGUUGAAAGGGAAACGCUUGAAGUCAGUCGCGUCUUCCGAGAUUCAGCUGGGGUACUCUUCCCCGGUGUAUUUCUCGGUGUCGACGGGCCAGCAUCGAUUUUGACCGUUCGAGAAAGGCUUUGGGAACGUGGCACCCCUCCGGGGGUGUGUUAUAAGCCCUCUGUCGUAUGGGACGGUCGGGAUCGAGGACCGCAGCGUGCCCUUCACCGGGCCGGGGUUCGCCCACGUAACGCGCUUAGGAUGUUGGCUUAAUGGCUUUAA
rnacentral:rRNA from 1 species